rnacentral:rRNA from 1 species
GACGAACGCUGGCGGCGUGCCUAAUACAUGCCAGUUGAGCGAUAAAGCUUGGUUCUUGCCCCGAUUUGAAGGGCAGCGAACGGGGGAGUAACGCGUGGGGCGUCUGCCUUUUAGCGGGGGACAACGUUUAGAAACGAAUGCUAAUACCGCAUAACAACUUUAACCAUAAGUUUUAAGUUUGAAAGAUGCAAUUGCAUCACUCAAAGAUGAUCCCGCGUUGUAUUGGCUAGUUGGUGAGUGAAAGGCUCACCAAGGCGAUGAUACAUAGCCGACCGGCGAGGGUGGUGGGCCAACGUGGGACUGGGAAACGGGCCAAACUCCUACGGGAGGCAGCAGUAGGGAGUCGUCAGCAAUGGACGAAAGUCUGACCGAGGAACGACGGGUGAGUGGAGGAGGUUGUCGGAUCGUGAAACUCUGUUGGUAGAGAAGAGCGAUGGUGAGAGUGGAAAGCUCAUGUAGUGACGGUAACUACACAAAAAGCGACGGCUAACUACGUG